GACGAACGCUGGCGGCGUGCUUAACACAUGCAAGUCGAACGGAAAGGCCCUGCUUUUGUGGGGUGCUCGAUUGGCGAACGGGUGAGUAACACGUGAGUAACCUGCCCUUGACUUUGGGAUAACUUCAGGAAACUGGGGCUAAUACCGGAUAUGAGCUCCUGCUGCAUGGUGGGGGUUGGAAAGUGUCGGCGGUUGGGGAUGGACUCGCGGCUUAUCAGCUUGUUGGUGGGGUAGUGGAUUACCAAGGCUUUGACGGGGAGCCGGCCUGAGAGGGUGACCGGCCACAUAGGGACUGAGAUACGGCCCAGACUCCUACGGGAGGCAGCAGUGGGGAAUAUUGCACAAUGGGCGGAAGCCUGAGGCAGCAACGCCGCGUGCGGGAUGACGGCCUUCGGGUUGUAAACCGCUUUCGCCUGUGACGAAGCGUGAGUGACGGUAAUGGGUAAAGAAGCACCGGCUAACUACGU
rnacentral:rRNA from 1 species